rnacentral:misc_RNA from 1 species
UCGGUUUGAACUGAACUGAACUGAACCAAAUGGUCCAAACCAAAUUAAUUCAGUUUGAUUCAAUUUAGUUAUUUACUUAAAUCAGUUUCAAUUUUGUUUUAUAAUUUAGAAUAUCCGGUUUAUUCUAUUUGGUUCAGUUUUGAAUUGAAUCCGCCGAUUGCUCACCCCUAAAUUAGAAACCCAUAGAACAAUAAAAGAUGACACAUUCUUUCCAAUCUGGUAAGUUGCAGUCUGUCAACUAAAACCUAAGCAAAAAUAAUGGAAUUCAUUUCAUUUCACUGAAGCAAUAUCUGUCAAAAGGUCCGAAGAUUUACUGCAGAGAUGCUAAGUAACUUAAAUAAGGGCAAUUCACAUGCAACCUGGGCACACAAAAUUAUAGAGAAAGAAGUCGAACAAUGCUAGUAAAAGAAGCCUUCCUAAACAAGGUCAAGGUAAUUCGAAAAAUCCGCUAAAAAUUAUCCAUUUUCGCACAGUAAAACCUUAAAAAUGCCUAAAACACCUAGAAAUGGGCUAAAACCUAAGAAAUGAAGUAAGAAAAG